UACGUAGGGGCCGAGCGUUGUCCGGAGUUAUUGGGCGUAAAGCGCGCGCAGGCGGCCUCGCGCGCCCGACGUGAAAGCCCCCGGCUUAACCGGGGAGGGUCGUUGGGGACGGCGGGGCUUGAGAGCGGGAGAGGGUGGUGGAAUUCCCGGUGUAGUGGUGAAAUGCGUAGAGAUCGGGAGGAACACCCGUGGCGAAGGCGGCCACCUGGGCCGACCCUGACGCUGAGGCGCGAAGGCGUGGGGAGCGAACGGG
rnacentral:rRNA from 1 species